rnacentral:rRNA from 1 species
CGUGUAAAGGUCUCACCAUGCUCGAUCGUAGCUGGUCCGAGCGGAUAUCAGUCAACUUCAGGACUGAGAACACGUCCGGAACUUCCUACCGGGAUGCAGCAGUUGGGCAUAUGGACAUCGGCGAAAGCCUGAUCAGCAUGCGCGAGUGUGGAAGAAGGCCUCGGUUGUUAAGCACUUUCAGCGAGAAGAACGACUAGUGGUGAUACCCAUAGGCAAAGACAUCACUCGCAGAAGAAGCAGCCGGCUAACUCUGUGCUCAGCAGCCGCGGUAAUACGGAGGGGUGCAAGCGUUAAUCGGAAUUACUGGCGUAAAGCGCGCGUAGGUGGCUUGAUAAGCCGGUUGUGAAAGCCCCGGGCUCAACCUGGGAACGGCAUCCGGAACUGUCAAGCUAGAGUGCAGGAGAGGAAGGUAGAAUUCCCGGUGUAGCGGUGAAAUGCGUAGAGAUCGGGAGGAAUACCAGUGGCGAAGGCGGCUUUCUGGACUGACACUGACACUGAGGUGCGAAAGCGUGGGUAGCAAACAGGAUUAGAUACCCUGGUAGUCCACGCCGUAAACGAUGUCGACCAGCCGUUGGGUGCCUAGCGCACUUUGUGGCGAAGUUAACGCGAUAAGUCGACCGCCUGGGGAGUACGGCCGCAAGGUUAAAACUCAAAUGAAUUGACGGGGGCCCGCACAAGCGGUGGAGCAUGUGGUUUAAUUCGAUGCAACGCGAAGAACCUUACCUACUCUUGACAUCCUGCGAACUUGUGAGAGAUCACUUGGUGCCUUCGGGAACGCAGAGACAGGUGCUGCAUGGCUGUCGUCAGCUCGUGUUGUGAAAUGUUGGGUUAAGUCCCGUAACGAGCGCAACCCUUGUCCUUAUUUGCCAGCGCGUAAUGGCGGGAACUCUAAGGAGACUGCCGGUGACAAACCGGAGGAAGGUGGGGACGACGUCAAGUCAUCAUGGCCCUUACGAGUAGGGCUACACACGUGCUACAAUGGCCGGUACAAAGGGUUGCGAGCUCGCGAGAGUCAGCUAAUCCCGAAAAGCCGGUCUCAGUCCGGAUCGGAGUCUGCAACUCGACUCCGUGAAGUCGGAAUCGCUAGUAAUCGUGAAUCAGAAUGUCACGGUGAAUACGUUCCCGGGCCUUGUACACACCGCCCGUCACACCAUGGGAGUGGACUGCACCAGAAGUGGUUAGCUUAACCUUCGGAAAGCGAUCACCAGAGAUGUGACAUCCC